UCCCUGGUAGUAUAUCGGUUAGUACACGCGCCUGUCAUCUCUGCAGGAUGUCUGUAACGCGCGAAAGCUGGGUUCGACUCCCAGCCAGGGAG
rnacentral:tRNA from 1 species